rnacentral:pre_miRNA from 1 species
GGGUCUCUUCGCUAGACCAGAUAAGAGCCCGGGAGCUCUCUGGCUAGUGUAGAACCCAC